rnacentral:rRNA from 1 species
GUUGACCUCGGAUCAGGUAGGACUACCCGCUGAACUAAGCAUAUCAACGGCACAGCUCAAUUUGAAUCUGGCCUCCCCCCGCGGGGUGCCCGAGUUGUAAUUUGCAGAGGAUGCCUCUGGCGCGGCGCCUUCCCGAGUUCCCUGGAACGGGACGCCAUAGAGGGUGAGAGCCCCGUAUGGUCGGCCGCCCUAGCCUCUGUGAGGCUCCUUCGACGAGUCGAGUAGUUUGGGAAUGCUGCUCAAAAUGGGAGGUAUAUGUCUUCUAAAGCUAAAUACCGGCCAGAGACCGAUAGCGCACAAGUAGAGUGAUCGAAAGAUGAAAAGUACUUUGAAAAGAGGGUUAAACAGUACGUGAAAUUGUUGAAAGGGAAGCGCUCGCGACCAGACUCGGGCCCGGUGGAUCAUCCGGCGUUCCUCACCGGUGCACUCCGCCGGCGCUCGGGCCAGCAUCGGCUCGCCGCGGGGGAUAAAGACGGCGGGAACGUGGCCCCUCCCGGGGGGUGUUAUAGCCCGCCGUGCAAUGCCCCGCGCCGCGGGCCGAGGACCCGCGCCCCUAGGCUAGGCAAGGAUGCUGGCGUGAUGGUCGCCAGCGACCCGUCUUGAAACACGGACCAAGGAGUCGUCUUCGUAUGCGAGUGUCCGGGUGUCAAACCCCCACGCGCAAUGAAAGUGAAUGCGGGUGAGAGCCCCUCGCGGGGGGGCGCAUCACCGACCGAUCCUGAAGUUCUCGGAUGGAUUUGAGUAAGAGCAUACGGGGCCGGACCCGAAAGAAGGUGAACUAUGCCUGUGUUAGGGUGAAGCCGGAGGAAACUCUGGUGGAGGCUCGCAGCGGUUCUGACGUGCAAAUCGAUCGUCAAACAUGGGCAUGGGGGCGAAAGACUAAUCGAACCUUCUAGUAG